CUCGUAGUUGGAUUUCUGUGGGGACGGAGCGGCCGGCCGCAACUCGCGGUUCGAGCUAGCGCUUUCCCUACAUCCUGCCGCGAACCGUGCUACCAUUAGUUUGGUGGCGCUGGGGAUCGGCUCGAUUACUUUGAGAAAAAUAGAGUGUUCAAAGCAGGCCACACGCCUUGAAUAAGUUAGCAUGGAAUAAUAACUAAGGACUUCGGUUCUAUUUUGUUGGUGUUCGGGACUGAAGUAAUGAUUGAUAGGGACAGUUGGGGCGGUCAGUAUUCCAAAGCGAGAGGUGAAAUUCUUAGACCUUCGGAAGACUAACAGCUGCGAAAGCGUUCCGCAAGGAUGUUCCCUUUGAUCAAGAACGAAGGUUGGGGGAUCGAAGACGAUCAGAUACCGUCGUAGUCUCAACUAUAAACUAUACCAGCUAGGGAUCGGCCAACGUUAUUUUAUACCGACUUGGUCGGCACCUUAUGAGAAAUCAAAGCAUCUGGGUUCCGGGGGGAGUAUGGUCGCAAGGCUGAAACUUAAAGGAAUUGACGGAAGGGCACCACCAGCCGUGGAGCCUGUGGCUUAAUUUGACUCAACACGGGAAAACUUACCAGGUCCAGACAUAGUAAGGAUUGACAGAUUGAUAGCUCUUUCUUGAUUCUGUGGGUGGUGGUGCAUGGCCGUUCUUAGUUGGUGGAGUGAUUUGUCUGGUUAAUUCCGUUAACGAACGAGACCCCAGCCUGCUAAAUAGCGCGAGUGAGCUUUGCUCGCUGCGAGCUUCUUAGAGGGACUAUGAUGCGCGAUAGCACAUGGAAGUUUGGGGCAAUAACAGGUCUGUGAUGCCCUUAGAUGUUCUGGGCCGCACACGGGCUACACUGGCGCCUGCAACGAGCAUAUCAGCUGGCCCGAGAGGGUCUUGGCUAAUCUUUUGAACCGGCGCCGUGCUUGGGAUUGACCUUUGCAAUUGUUGGUCAUGCAACGAGGAAUGCCUUGUAAACGCGAGUCAUCAACUCGCAUUGAAUACGUCCCUGCCCUUUGUACACACCGCCCGUCGCUCUACCGAUGAUGUUCCGAUGAAAUUUUCG
rnacentral:rRNA from 1 species